ensembl:lncRNA
CUUGGCCUCUGAUUCCUCCUCGCCACUGUGUGAGUGCAUCUUCAGUCACUUCAGUCAUGUCCGCCUCUUUGUGACCCUGUGGACUGUAGCCACCAGGCUCCUCUGUCCAUGGGAUUCUCCAGCUAGAAUACUGGAGUGGGCUGCUGUGGCCUGCUCCAGGGGAUCUUCCCGAACCAGGGAUUGAACCCGCGUCUCCUGCAUUGGCAGGUCACUGGCUGUUGGAUGGAGAUGUUUUGGAGCAAGACAGGAGCAGAGGCGGGGCAUCCCAUUAUUGGACCAGGUCAGAGAGAACUGCUGGUUGGCCUAAGGUGACGCAGCAGAAAUGAAGAGAAGUAAAGGGGUUCAUCUAUGUUUGGAGGUAAAGUCAACAGCUCCUGCUGCAGGAUGGACUGUGGACAGUGGAUGGUCCAGGAAUGCGCUGAGAUUUGAG